GAUGAAGAACGUAGCGAAAUGCGAUAAGUAAUGUGAAUUGCAGAAUUCAGUGAAUCAUCGAAUCUUUGAACGCACAUUGCGCCCCCUGGUAUUCCGGGGGGCAUGCCUGUUCGGGCGUCAUUUCACCACUCAAGCCUCGCUUGGUAUUGGGCAACGCGGUCCGCCGCGUGCCUCAAAUCGUCCGGCUGGGUCUUCUGUCCCCUAAGCGUUGUGGAAACUAUUCGCUAAAGGGUGUUCGGGAGGCUACGCCGUAAAACAACCCCAUUUCUAAGGUUGACCUCGGAUCAGGUAGGGAUACCCGCUGAACUUAAGCAUAUCAAUAAGCGGAGGA
rnacentral:misc_RNA from 1 species